rnacentral:rRNA from 1 species
AGAGCGAACGCUGGCGGCAGGCCUAACACAUGCAAGUCGAGCGCCCCGCAAGGGGAGCGGCAGACGGGAGAGUAACACGUGGGAACGUACCCUUUGGUUCGGAACAACACAGGGAAACUUGUGCUAAUACCGGAUAAGCCCUUACGGGGAAAGAUUUAUUGCCAAAGGAUCGGCCCGCGUCUGAUUAGCUUGUUGGUGAGGUAACAGCUCACCAAGGCUACGAUCAGUAGCUGGUCUGAGAGGAUGAUCAGCCUCACUGGGACUGAGACACGGCCCAGACUCCUACGGGAGGCAGCAGUGGGGAAUAUUGGACAAUGGGCGCAAGCCUGAUCCAGCCAUGCCGCGUGGAUGAUGAAGGCCCUAGGGUUGUAAAGUCCUUUCGACGGGGAAGAUAAUGACGGUACCCGUAGAAGAAGCCCCGGCUAACUUCGUGCCAGCAGCCGC